rnacentral:rRNA from 1 species
CAGCCGCCGCGGUAAGACGUAGGGGACUAGCGUUGUUCGGAAUUACUGGGCGUAAAGAGCGCGUAGGCGGUUUAGUAAGUUGGAAGUGAAAGCCCGGGGCUCAACCUCGGAAUAGCUUUCAAAACUGCUAAACUAGAGUUCGGUAGGGGGUGAUGGAAUUCCUAGUGUAGAGGUGAAAUUCGUAGAUAUUCGGAAGAACACCAGUGGCGAAGGCGGCUUACUGGCUCAUUCUAGACGCUGAGGUGCGAAAGCGUGGGGAGCAAACAGGAUUAGAUACCCCCGUAGUCCCUGUCUCUUAUAC